UCCCAGACUCCUACGGGAGGCAGCAGUGAGGAAUAUUGGUCAAUGGGCGCGAGCCUGAACCAGCCAAGUCGCGUGAGGGAAGACGGUCCUAUGGAUUGUAAACUUCUUUUGUCGGGGAGCAAAAGACGCCACGCGUGGCGUUCCGAGAGUACCCGAAGAAAAAGCAUCGGCUAACUCCGUGCCAGCAGCCGCGGUAAUACGGAGGAUGCGAGCGUUAUCCGGAUUUAUUGGGUUUAAAGGGUGCGCAGGCGGAAGAUCAAGGCAGCGGUAAAAUUGGGAGGCUCAACCUCUUCGAGCCGUUGAAACUGGUUUUCUUGAGUGAGCGAGAAGUAUGCGGAAUGCGUGGUGUAGCGGUGAAAUGCAUAGAUAUCGCGCAGAACUCCGAUUGCGAAGGCAGCAUGCCGGCUCCACACUGACGCUGAGGCACGAAAGCGUGGGUAUCGAACAGGAUUAGAUACCCGUGUAC
rnacentral:rRNA from 1 species